rnacentral:rRNA from 1 species
AUUGAACGCUGGCGGCGUGCUUAACACAUGCAAGUCGAGCGGAGCUGCGAACGGGUGAGUAACGCGUGAGUAACUGCCCCCCUCUCUGUGAUAACAGUUGGAAACGGCUGCUACUACCUGAUAGUGGGGGAUGACUCGCGUCCUAUCGGCUUGUUGGUGGGGUAGUGGCCUACCAAGGCUACGACGGGUAGCCGACCUGGGAAGGGGACCGGCCACAAGGGGCUGAGAGACGGCCCAAACUGCAACGGUGGGCAGCAGUGGGGAAUAUGGCACAAUGGGGGAAACCCUGAUAAAGCAACGCGCGUGCGGGAUGACGGCCUUCGGGUUGUAAACCGCUUUCAGCCAUGACGCGGUAGUGGCAGAAGAAGCACCGGCUAACUACGUGCCAGCAGCCGCGGUAAUUC